CAGUGAACAUUGUGUACCUUGACUUCAGAAAGGCCUUUAACACUGUCUCCCAUAACAUGCUCAUAGGUAAACUUAGGAAAUGUGGGAUAGACAGUGAACAUCAAAAAAGACGAAUAAAAAACACUUCCUGACUUUCUGGAGUAUGCUUGGUAUGUCUCGAGCAUUUAUAGUCCAAAGCAAAAUUUAACAACAAAUCGAGGGCCGUUAUCAGUGAGGCAGGAGGUCCUGUGAGAACAAGGUGGUCUCAAAACAGGCCCACCUUCCCUGCCAGAAAGAUUUUCUACAAACUUAUUUCUGACAAAUUUGUUCCUGUGAACUCUCUUGUUUAUGGCCUUGAAAAUGUGCACCUGCAAACCUUACAGAUACAAAAAGAUGAUGGUGAGGAGACAUUGUCAUCAUUGAUUUUUCCCUGCCUGCUGUUUGCCGGUUCAAGAUUAAGACCUCUGGACGAGUGCAGUCAUAUCUCCAUCCCUCCUGGACCCACAGGACCUGAACUGGAACUCCUCAAAAUGGACCGGAUGCAACAGACAAUGAGGAGGAUUAAUAGCCAGCUGACUGGCAGAGCUCAGAGGGUUGUAAUCAUCUGUAUUCGGGAUAUAGUUGGAGGCCCAUAGUUAGCAACAUUACCCAGCGAUAGUUUCCAUGGAAAUGAAGACAUCACUUUCAGCAUGACCUACAUAAAUAUGUAAAGGUCAUGUGUCAAGAGGACAGGGCCAGGCUCAUUUCAGUGGUGACCAGUGAUCGGACAAAGGACAAUGAACACAAACUGGAACACAUGAAGUCCAAUAUAAAC